rnacentral:rRNA from 1 species
AGACACGGCCCAAACUCCUACGGGAGGCAGCAGUAGGGAAUCUUCCACAAUGGGCGAAAGCCUGAUGGAGCAACGCCGCGUGGGUGAAGAAGGUCUUCGGAUCGUAAAACCCUGUUGUUAGAGAAGAAAGUGCGUGAGAGUAACUGUUCACGUUUCGACGGUAUCUAACCAGAAAGCCACGGCUAACUACGUGCCAGCAGCCGCGGUAAUACGUAGGUGGCAAGCGCUAUCCGGAUUUAUUGGGCGUAAAGGGAACGCAGGCGGUCUUUUAAGUCUGAUGUGAAAGCCUUCGGCUUAACCGGAGUAGUGCAUUGGAAACUGGGAGACUUGAGUGCCAGAAAGGAGAGGGGAACUCCAUGUGUAGCCGGUGAAAUGCGUAGAUAUAUGGAAGAACACCAGUGGCGAAAGCGGCUCUCUGGUCUGUAACUGACGCUGAGGUUCGAAAGCGUGGGUAGCAAACAGGAUUAGAUACCCUGGUAGUCCACGCCGUAAACGAUGAAUGCUAAGUGUUGGAGGGUUUCCGCCCUUCAGUGCUGCAGCUAACGCAAUAAGCAUUCCGCCUGGGGAGUACGACCGCAAGGUUGAAACUCAAAGGAAUUGACGGGGGCCCGCACAAGCGGUGGAGCAUGUGGUUUAAUUCGAAGCAACGCGAAGAACCUUACCAGGUCUUGACAUCUUUUGACAAUCCUAGAGAUAGGACUUUCCCUUCGGGGACAAAAUGACAGGUGGUGCAUGGUUGUCGUCAGCUCGUGUCGUGAGAUGUUGGGUUAAGUCCCGCAACGAGCGCAACCCUUAUUGUUAGUUGCCAGCAUUAAGUUGGGCACUCUAGCAAGACUGCCGGUGACAAACCGGAGGAAGGUGGGGAUGACGUCAAAUCAUCAUGCCCCUUAUGAUCUGGGCUACACACGUGCUACAAUGGACGGUACAACGAGUCGCAAGACCGCGAGGUUUAGCAAAUCUCUUAAAGCCGUUCUCAGUUCGGAUUGUAGGCUGCGACUCGCCUACAUGAAG